rnacentral:rRNA from 1 species
CGAACGGCAGCACGGUAGCUUGCUCUGUGUGGCGAGUGGCGAACGGGUGAGUAAUAUAUCGGAACGUACCCUAGAGUGGGGGAUAACGUAGCGAAAGUUACGCUAAUACCGCAUACGAUCUAAGGAUGAAAGUGGGGGAUCGCAAGACCUCAUGCUCGUGGAGCGGCCGAUAUCUGAUUAGCUAGUUGGUAGGGUAAAAGCCUACCAAGGCAUCGAUCAGUAGCUGGUCUGAGAGGACGACCAGCCACACUGGAACUGAGACACGGUCCAGACUCCUACGGGAGGCAGCAGUGGGGAAUUUUGGACAAUGGGCGAAAGCCUGAUCCAGCAAUGCCGCGUGAGUGAAGAAGGCCUUCGGGUUGUAAAGCUCUUUUGUCAGGGAAGAAACGGUGAGAGCUAAUAUCUCUUGCUAAUGACGGUACCUGAAGAAUAAGCACCGGCUAACUACGUGCCAGCAGCCGCGGUAAUACGUAGGGUGCAAGCGUUAAUCGGAAUUACUGGGCGUAAAGCGUGCGCAGGCGGUUUUGUAAGUCUGAUGUGAAAUCCCCGGGCUCAACCUGGGAAUUGCAUUGGAGACUGCAAGGCUAGAAUCUGGCAGAGGGGGGUAGAAUUCCACGUGUAGCAGUGAAAUGCGUAGAUAUGUGGAGGAACACCGAUGGCGAAGGCAGCCCCCUGGGUCAAGAUUGACGCUCAUGCACGAAAGCGUGGGAGCAAACAGGAUUAGAUACCCUGGUAGUCCACGCCCUAAACGAUGUCUACUAGUUGUCGGGUCUUAAUUGACUUGGUAACGCAGCUAUCGCGUGAAGUAGACCGCCUGGGGGAGUACGGUCGCAAGAUUAAAACUCAAAGGAAUUGACGGGGACCCGCACAAGCGGUGGAUGAUGUGGGAUUAAUUUCGAUGCAACGCGAAAAAACCUUUACCUACCCUUGACAUGG